CUCUCUCUCUCUCUCUCAAAUGGAGAUCGGCGUCGGCCAGAUCUGAACCAUUUUCACUCUCCCUCUCAGGUUUAAUGGCGGUCGAAUGUCUGUGAGUGUGAAAGAACCCAAUCAAUCCCUGCCAUUUCUAAUCUUCUUGGAUCAAGAUCUCUUCCAAUCUCAAUGGCUUCCGUGUAUGCUCUGCCUCUUCCUUCAUACGCUCUUGAGAAAAUCAAAGGUAUACUCUCUCGAUCUCUCUCCUUUCAUCUCUGUCUCUCUCACUUCCCUUUUCGAUUAUCAAAAUUUGGGCAGCAACCAUCGCGAAGGCAGCCAUAUGCGCCGCUGUCCAUGGCCGCCGACAUCUGCAUGUUAAUUGUUUGAAGAAAUGCUUCAACCAAUAACGUGUACCACUAUUGUACAUUUAAUCUCUCUGUUUCUUUCAUAUUUUUUUGGCCCAUCCAUGAGUGGACUAGCCUGAUAUAUGGGAGGGGAACAAUCAACAUUGAUCCACCUCAUUAGAGGCAGUGAUCCAACACAUACCACUUUAGACCAUGUGUUUGUGCGGAUAGGGCAUACCUCUUCUGUUUAUUCACUUCGAUGAAUGUAACUAAGAAAUACAAAUGGGAAUUUACAGGUAUGAAUUCCAAAUGCAGUAUGGAUUGAUUGGAUGGUCAGUGGGAGUGACAGUGGGUUAUGCACAGACUGCAAAGAUCAGCCGUUGAUACUACAGAUGGACUUUGCCUUUCAUAGUUGUACCAACGGCUAUUGGAGCUUCCCUGGAUAUAAAUCUAAGCAAUGUGUCCCUUUUUUUCAUAUUCGUGACAUUUGCCACCAUGGUUGCUCUGUUAUUCCCUCUAUAUUUAUGUUCCGAUGCAUCAUUAUCUUCUGAUUUUGAAUUGAAUACUGAGUAGUUUGCAAACGGGACAAUGAGAUUUCUAAUGUAGAAGGAUAUUCUUAUAUCACAUCUUUCUUUGCAGUGUAAAUCCACCUCUCCAAUAUUUCUUCUAUUUGCUUUUGCUUUCAAGUGAGUUUAUAAUAGAAUGACCUUUAUUUUUUAUGUAACCUUCCCCUUGCAUUCUGGUUUAGAAUAAUAUAUUAUAUAAAGCUGUUUUUCUUUCUUUUCCUUUAUACUUGUAUCCAGCUGGACACAUCAAAAUCACUAUCUAUAUUUUCCUUUGUACUCAUAAUAGCUCUACCUCGGAUUACAACAUUUGAAGAACACUUAUAUUGCCAGUCUUUAAUUGUUUGUUAGUUUCCAUUGGAUUUGAUUUUUAUUUAUUUUUUAAAUACAAGUUUGAACAUUUUCUCGCCGAAGUGUAGAGGGGUUUUAUUUAUUCUAAAAUUUCUUCUUCUUCUUCUUCUUCUUCUUCUUCUUUUUUUUCAAUUUUCAUCAUAGAUAUAUUUUUGUUAGUUCCUACUAUUUUAAUCAUGAUGAUUAUGCUUGAAAAUUGAAUUAUUUGGAGUUCCAAUGUUGCGUCCAGGUUGGAAAUUUUAAUUGGGCAAUUUUCUUUCUUUUUCUUUUUUUUCUUCUUGACUAAGUAAACAAAGCUUAGGCAAUCCCAAGUUGUUGCAGUGAGUUUCAAAUCAAGUGGCAUUUUUUGUCUUUCUUUCUUGCAGCAAUUCUCUACGGAUGAUGAUAAUACCUGGAACUACUAAACUAAAAAGUUUCUUAUUGAUAAAUGACAUUUUCCUUAUUGUAUGUGUGUGUGUGCUUUAAUUUCUGUCCUACAAGCUUAUGAAAUCCACUACUUUUAGUUACAUGACUCAACUUAAAAGUUCAAGGUUGAUCUCCAUCAAACUUAUUUUGAUUUCUAUCUUCUCUUUUACCGCCGUUUAUGCAUAUUAACAGUCAAUAUUUGGACCUGUUCAGCUUGUCAUGAUCUAUGGUACACCAGUUCAUCUUGACCAAACCAACUACAAUAGUAUUACUAUAUUUGUGAGCACAGGAUAGCAGUCAUGAAAACCAAGACAAUUUACUAGUCAAUGGAAGUUAGGUAAUUUUUUGUCUUGAACUUGAAAUCUGCCAUAUGGGUUGCCCAAUAUAAAAUAGGCAAGAAAGAACUAAGGUAUCUUUAUUUUUUUAUACUCUGCUAAAGAUACCUUUAGACAGUUCUAAAUCCUUUUCCAUUGAUAAUUGUGCUAUAUAUUUUUGUAGUCCCAAAAAUCAGUUUUUGGAAAACAUGGUCUUCAAGUUUUUCAGUUCAUUUACUUUUGUUCUGCAAUUUUUUUUCCUUGCAAGUUGCAACCAUUGCCAUUUUGUUGAUUGUUCCACUUCCAGUGCUAUCUCAUAUGGCUUUUGGAUGUCACCUAGUCUCUAUUUGUUUUUGUCAUUGCUGUAGAGAAUUUUCGAGUACUUUGCACGGGUAAGCCAACACUGUCUGUCAUUUUAAGUGUUAGGUUAUUCCUUAAGUUUAUGUUACACUGAUGCAAAUACUCAGAUUUGGACUUCUUUUCUCAUUACAAGAGGUUUGUAUUGAAAGCAUUGUUGAUAUUAAAAAUAGUCAGUUGUAGUCAAGGUUCAAAUUAUCCUUUGAACACCAUACAAUUUUUUUUUACAACACAUUACCAAUACCAGCACAAUUCAAUUCUAUCCACUGUAAAUCUCAUGUUCUUGAUAGCCUACACUUGAAGUUUGAGCAGUAACAAUAACAAUAGCAGUAACAACUCCGCCAGAGAUUUCCGAGUAAAGCCCUUCUCUACAUGUGCUAGUGCUAGUGCUAAAGCCCUUCUCUACAUGUUCUAGUGCUAGUGCUAAAGCCCUGCUAGUUUGAUUGAAAUUCUGAAUUUUAUCUUUUUGUCAUGUCAUGUUAGAACCCUUGUUGUCCUAGCAUUCUAACUUGAACUGUUUUAUCUUUUUAUCUAUCAUCAGUAGUGGUAUAUGACUACUUAAGAGCAUUUUUUUCCUCUUUAUCGCGAUGUAGAUACGUCAAUGGAAACAUUGGGAGGAUUCUAUUAAGAAAGAUAAAUAUGAUCAAGACAAGGUUGUGAAUAAGAAGGUGACUCAUGUGCAUUAGCAUGCUUUUAUCAGGGAACAUUUUCUUGGAAUUGGGUUUUGUUCAACCAUUCUGAGUUGGCUGGUAAGUUAUUUAAUCAUGGGGUGUAAAUUGCCAUCCAUCCCUAUUCUUAAAUGGUUCUUCAACAUGAAUUAAAGAACUUUGCACUGGUGGGUUACUUUGUUCUUCUUUGUAAGAAAUAGAUCUUUUCUGCCAUUGUAAAAUCAGGAAUAUGCUAAUCCAAUGAAAGAAAUUGAGAACAGAGGAACUUUGGGGGUUUACUUUUAUUCUUUAUUUGUUUAAUCAAUAAAUGUGGGAAUGACUAAGAGUCAAAAGGAAUAUUUAUGGAACAAAACGUAGGAGAAAGAUUAUCCUCACUAACUCAAACCUGUAGGACAUCAUGCAUCCUCACUAACUCUAAGAACUGUAUAAACAUUUUCUUCUUUUCUUCUUUUGAAUCAACAUUUAUGGAAUAUCCUUGUUAUUUUCAUGAAAGACUACACUAAAAUGUCUAUGGAAUUUUGGAUAUUUUGGAGAUAAAGAAAACCCCUUGCUAUUUCUUAUAUAACAUACAUUUGGAUUCUCAAUUGAAAUGAAGUACAAAUAUCUUUCAGUUUUUCCACCAAAUAUUUUUUUUCCCCAGCUCUAACAGAUAUGAUAAAUACUUCUGCACUUUGAUUCAUAAGGUCAUAAUGUUGUGUUGAUCUCCAACCAUCAGACAGAAGCUGAACCAAUGAUAAUUGCCUUGUUGCUUGAGACAUCACACCCUCAUGUUGCUGAGAAGAUGGUAUGCUACUUUGUAGUUCGUUUUAUUAUAGGCCACUAAAUGAAAAGACAAUCAUGAUUGUUCUUAUUGAUUAAAUAUU